UCCCCAAUUCCUCGACCAAUAUUCCAUAAAAUCGCAUUAAAGCGAGAGAUAAUAAGAAUAAUUACACAAAAUGAAAAAUUGUACAAACGUUUCGUAAUAAUUUUUUCAAGUAUUAGAUUUACAAGAACGUUAAUUUUCUAGAAUUCCCUAAAAUUCUUAAAUCCCCAAUUCUUCAAACAAUAUUCCAUAAAAUCACAUUAAAGCGAGAUAAAUUCAUAUAGAAAAGAUUGUUGCCCAAUAUUCACUCAUUGACAAAUUAUUUUUCUAUCGAUAAAUUUUUAAGUAAAUUGCUUCAUAACAAUUUUUUUUAAGUAUUAAUUAUGUUAAUCCGUUGUAGAAUUCCUCACCAUCAAUUUUCUAUUUAAAGUGAUAUAGAUUUAAAAGAACAUAAUUCUAGGGUUCCCCUGGAAUUCUUAAAUCCCCAAUUCCUCGACCAAUAUUCCAUAAAAUCGCAUUAAAGCGAGAUAAAUUCACUUAGAAAAGAUUGCUGCACAAUAUUCACUCAUUGACAAAUUAUUUUUCUAUCGAUAAAUUGUACGAACGCUUCAUAACGCAAUUUUUUCCUAAGUGUUAGAUUUACAAGAACGUUAGUUCCCUAGGGUUCCCUAGAAUUUUUAAAUCCCUCGAGCAAUGUUCCGCGAUCGAUCUAGAUUAAAGCGAGAGACACAAAAAGAUAAAUCGUAGAAACGCUCGAGUUUUCGUUUUAAAAAAUAUUCGCGACGAAAGGAUGAAUUCUCGUCGAAUUGUUUUCAAUCACGAUCGCCGUUAAAUUCCUCUGGCUGCACUCUGCCGCAAUUGGCGGCCCGUCGGUGAGAGCAGCACGAUCCGCGGGUGGUCCCAGAAGGAGGUGGGCCCUCGGAAGGGUUAGGAGAGCGUUCGAAAUCGAUGGUUCCCAGCGUGACGUCAAAAUAACCAAAUGUGUCAACAGUGUCGCGAGUCAACGGGGUUCUUGAUCGAAUUACACGGGUGGGGGCAAAUUUACAAGGUGCUUCCCGCGGCGUCGCCCUUUCUCUCAAUUAAGUAGCGCGCAGCUGCGGUGCACGCGCGUCUGUUCAACCUCGGCUCGCGAUUCGAACCUCGCUUUUUCAAUUCGAAAUAAAGGGAGGAGGAGAGAAAGAAGGAAGAAAGAAAGGGAAGGAAGGAAAGGUAGAUCCUCCUCACAGGUCCAUUCAACCAGAGGAAAUUCGACCAGUCUCGUCCGGGGAAACUGACCGCCCAUCAAACUGGACGCACCGAAUCGUGCAACUGUGGCAGAAAAAAGAGAGGAAUGGACGGCAGCUGCUAGACGACCGACAAAUUAGUCGGAAUUCACAUUUGUGGCAUCGAUUACAAGUUUCCUGAACGUGAGCAACGGGCAUAAACGACUGGCCACGGAAAGCGUCGAAGAAA